UACAGAGGUCUCAAGCGUUGUUCGGAUUCAUUGGGCGUAAAGGGUGCGUAGGUGGCGCCGUAAGUCGGGUGUGAAAUUUCGGAGCUUAACUCCGAAACUGCAUUCGAUACUGCGGUGCUUGAGGACUGGAGAGGAGACUGGAAUUCAUGGUGUAGCAGUGAAAUGCGUAGAGAUCGGGAAGAACAUCAGUGGCGAAGGCGGCCUGCUGGGCUGUUGCUGACGCUGAGGCGCGACAGCGUGGGGAGCAAACAGG
rnacentral:rRNA from 1 species